rnacentral:rRNA from 1 species
UACGGGGGGUGCGAGCGUUAAUCGGAAUAACUGGGCGUAAAGGGCACGCAGGCGGACUUUUAAGUGCGGUGUGAAAUCCCCGGGCUUAACCUGGGAAUUGCCUUGCAUACUGGGGGUCUAGAGUACUUUAGGGAGGAGUAGAAUUCCUCGUGUAGCGGUGAAAUGCGUAGAGAUGUGGAGGAAUACCGAAGGCGAAGGCAGCCCCUUGGGAAUGUACUGACGCUCAUGUGCGAAAGCGUGGGGAGCAAACAGG